CUUGGAGUCGAGUCUCCUACAGUUGCCACCUAAGGCUCGUUGGGACCACUGAUCCUAACACUGGGUUUGUCCCAUGAGUGGACUUUCGAUGUCAGAGGGCUGGAAACUGCCCCCUCUCAUGCAAAGCGCCUCCUCUGUGAACCUGCAGAGAAACCUGCAUCCCAGAUGCUCCUGUGCCAAACACCAACUUCCGCCCCCUCCCCCAGCUCCAGUCACCUUUCCCCGCGGCUAAGACCACCCUGCUUCUCCGUAAAUGCCUCAGCCCCCUUGCCUUCAGGGGCUUGUCCCCUUUCUCCACGCUUGGCUGCCUCCUGAGUAAACACUUGCCUGGCAGCAAACAGACCUGAUCUGGUGACAAAGUCCCGGUCCCUUGAGGCUAAUCGUUGGAGGAGUUGGUUGACUUCCUGAAUUGCUGGUAGAAAUCGAACCGGGCAGAAUGCGAUUUGGGACUCAGUCGAGUGUAUGUUCCCCUGUCUCAGCUCAGAAAGGACUCAGCGAGAGGCAGAGAGACAGACGUUAAACUGCGUCAUCAGCUCCUCCUCCACGAGCAGCGGAGUUUUCUUGGCCCUACAUGGUCCACCUGGGACGGUCACGGAGCAGGGGAAACGAGCAAAAAGCCAGUAACGUAUUGAAGUAGAGGAGAGCAUGGUUUCAGUAUAAUGUCACCUCUCCUAUACUUUUGUUUUUGGUCUGUGCAGAGAAGCCUGUCCUGGGAACUCUUAACUUACUAACCUCACCGGGCAGGACGUGGGUCUCCUUUCGCUACUAUUUUAGAGCCUAUUUCAUGAUGCUGCGGGGUGGUUUUGUUGCUCAGCGAGCCUGCUUGGUUUGUUGUUAGACCUGCCUGCUUUCCGGUGUGAUCAUUAACUCCCAGGGGUCUCCCAGACUUUUUUCUCUACUUACAAUCCCCUGGCGGGAUCGACUAUUUAAUCACCUACGCUGUCCCUUUCCUCUGUCCCAGUCAAUAGCCACCUGACUUCCUACAGGUCUGCCUGGCAGACUGUCUUCCUAAACCGGCUCCUGGAGACAGUGGGCUGGCCCCCUGGCUCAGAGUUCUGUUUUCAUUGUGUCUGACCCCUGUCUGUGUGCAUCUUAAGUCUUUGACAGCUCACCCUACCCUGUGGGACGCUCCUUCCUCCUCCGACCCUGGGUGCUGCAGACUUGCUCCCAAAGGGAUCAUGCGUGUAGAGAAACCGGCCCAGUGUGUGACAUGCUCAUCCACCAACACAUGCUCGUUUUCAUGCAGUGGGCAUUCCUCCACUUCCUAGUCUAUGAAACAUGGAGCAGCUGAAGCAUCCUAGGUUGGAAUUUGAAGAAUUUUGAAGACUUGGCGGAAAGAACAGCCUGGGCCAAUUCCCACUACCCUCUGGGAGAGGCAGGUAACAGGUGCUACUGUGCCGCAUCCCACUCUCUGAAAAGUAAACUUUAACCAAGUGCCGCUCAUAGAGGGGCAGCUGGCCCUUAUCCCGGAAACACGGUUUGGGAACGGCCACUGACCUUCCCUGAGGACUGUGCACUGAGCCACGUGUACACCAAGCCAGCACCCAGGGCUACCAACGCAGCUCCACCAAAGUGACUGGACCCCGCUUUUCUAACAGGCUCCCAGGUGAAGCCACUACUGCCUGUCCGGGGAUCUGCCUUUGAGGAGCGCGGAUGGGCGUCACACGCAAAGAGAAAACAAAACGCGGAGUGAUAUCGGACCCAGGAUUCACGCUUCAGGCGGGACAGAGAGGGCGCUGGGCAGGAUCGCACUGCUCUUCCCUUCGGCCAGUGCCACCUCAGACCCGGGCGCAUUACCUCGGGGAGGGCGGAGAAGACCCGAAGCCUCGCGCGCCCGCCAGCUCCGGAAGAACCGCCGCCGAGCGUGACGCGCCACUGAACCGGAGGAGCAGCCGGGCCAGGCUGCGCGGCGCACUGGCUGCAGGGCUGGGAGGGGGACGGGGCGGGGCCGAGGGCUAACCCCGCCCCGACACGCCCCUCUCCUAGGCUCCACCCCUUCACCCGGACUCCGCCCCCCCUUACUGCGCCUCGCUCCGACGCGCUCCGCCCUCGCCUUCCUCUCCCGCCCCUGGAUUCUGGAGUCGUGGCUCCAGUUUCGGGUUUUCUGAAUCGAGAAGGAGAAAAGAAACGGAAACCGAAACUGAAUUGACUGGGAAACGCUAGAUCGGGGAAGAGACGAUAAAGGAGUCACUCUCUGGAGCUCGCACGAGGGCCACGUCCACAGGACCAACCAGUCCCCCGACGCACCAUACAUACAUUCAUUCAUUCAUUCUGGAAACAUUUAUUGAACUACUGUGUGCCAGGAACUGUGCGGGAUCCCGAGUACGACAGCAAACAUCACCAACCUGAUUCCACCCUGUUGACGACUUGGUGACAGCCUGGAUGUUCAAAAAAGCCUAGGCAGUGUGAUGAGGCCAUGGUCCUGGAGAAGGGGGGCGGCUGGGGCAUGGGGAAUCUCAGAAAGGAAGUCCCCUAGGCCUGGAGAAAGACUGAGACAGGCCACUUCCAGGGAAGAAGCCCAGCGCGCAGGUGCAAGGAGGAGCGCCCUGAGCUGGAAAUUCUCCUGUUGUGAGGAGGCAUAUUACAUUCAAGCAGUGGGCGUAGAGGGAGGUGAGACUGGGCACAGGCAGGCCUGGCACACCACGCUGAGCAGUUUGGCAUACCCCCACCCCUCCCACCCCUGCAGCGGGUCACCCCGCAGCAUUUAAACCCGGUGCCGUUCACGUCCCACAGCUGUUUGAGGAAAUGCACGGGUUUGCAGGUAGGAAGUGAUGCCUGGAAGCUUGCCGGGCCUGGUUUCACCUCUUCUCUGCAAGACCAGACCAGGCAGGUGAUGAGAGGGCUGGACAAGGACCCAAGAGACCCGCAGAGGGCUGGGUGCCCACAGCUGCACAGGGAACAGGGCUGAGAGUCAGUGUGAGUGUAAUAUGCUUCCCUUGGAUGCCAUGCUUUUGGCAGACACAUUUCAGUGGAGUUAGGGAACAACAGGAAGAGGUGGGACCAGGCAGUGCCACGGUGGCAUCUCCUUGGGUUGAGGCUGCUGGGCUCAGUCCCCCUAAAGUCAGCCUAUGAUUACUGAGCACCUGCUGUCAGUAGAUGGUAGGCCUGGGAGAGAUACAACCUUGAUAAGGCCUUUGUCAAGGUGACAGCCCCACUGAGGAGGUGGCACAUCCCUCAGUCUUCAGAACAUCCCUCUGAGAUGCAAAGACUCUUUGCCCGAGCUGAGCCAGUUGUGGGGUGGCAGGGGGAGCUGGAAGAGGUGUGACCCAGGCUGCGAAGGAGCACCCCAGGGCAGCCACCAAGACAGGGGUCAGGCAGUUGGGACUGGGCAGGGGAGGAAAAUGUCUCUAGAAGCCCAGGGGAAUGGAGAGAGAAGCCAGCAGAAGCUGAGCCACCUUCAGGGAUGGUGAGUCGGGUGCUGAAUCUGGAGCACAGUUCUCAAGGGCUGAGAGUUCGAACCUUCCUUUGUAAAAUCCAGAGUCAUCAAUGUAGAGACAGAAUAUGGUCAACCAUUCAGGUGGGAGACUGUGAGCUUCCUGAGAGCAGGAGCUGCAUCCCGGCAAUUUCAGCAGGGGGCGAAGAUGCUACAGACAGUGGACUUGGGAAUAAAAACCUAGACUGGA